rnacentral:rRNA from 1 species
AUUGAACGCUGGCGGCGUGCCUUACACAUGCAAGUCGAACGGCAGCACGGGGGCAACCCUGGUGGCGAGUGGCGAACGGGUGAGUAAUACAUCGGAACGUGCCCUGUAGUGGGGGAUAACUAGUCGAAAGAUUAGCUAAUACCGCAUACGACCUGAGGGUGAAAGCGGGGGACCGUAAGGCCUCGCGCUACAGGAGCGGCCGAUGUCUGAUUAGCUAGUUGGUGGGGUAAAAGCCUACCAAGGCGACGAUCAGUAGCUGGUCUGAGAGGACGAUCAGCCACACUGGGACUGAGACACGGCCCAGACUCCUACGGGAGGCAGCAGUGGGGAAUUUUGGACAAUGGGGGCAACCCUGAUCCAGCAAUGCCGCGUGUGUGAAGAAGGCCUUCGGGUUGUAAAGCACUUUUGUCCGGAAAGAAAUGGCUCUGGUUAAUACCUGGGGUCGAUGACGGUACCGGAAGAAUAAGCACCGGCUAACUACGUGC